ACCUCAGAAACUCAAAGAGUAUUAUUUUGAAAAAAUAAAAGAAACAGACUCAAUCUCUGUCUAAGGUA
rnacentral:tRNA from 1 species